AGCUCCCAAAGUGCUUGGGGAGGGGAGAAGACCCAAUUCAAAGGUAGGUAGUGUUUUUUGUGGGCUUUAGCAACCCAGUCCGCUACAAAGUUGGCCUCUCUAUAACAAUGAAUAACCCGAAUACUAGAGAAGGAUCGUAGCAGGUCUUUGUAUUUCAAGAUAAGCGCGUGAACUUCCCAACUAAGUUGAUAUGGACUCUCUAAGGCAUUGACUAAGUCCAAGCUGUCAGACUCAAGUAUAAGGGCUUCAUGUCGUUUGGGAAAGAAGUGAGUUAGGGCUUCUAACAAAGCAAGAGACUCAGCCAUCGGCGGGGAUGACGUUGCCACAGUACGAGCUGCUCCGUCCAGCAACCUUCCGACGGAAUCACGGCAAACGCAAGUGACCGAACCGUCCGAAGCUCCAGAUCUGCUUGAUUUGGGGUUCCAUCUGUUAAAACUCUUCAACCCAGCUAGAACAGAGUCAAUGAGGCUGAUUGUGUUAGGUUUUCUGUUCUUGAAGAUGGCUUGGUUGCACGCCUUCCAUAUAUUCCAUAGUGUUGCAGCAACCAGCUCUAGAUUAGCACAGGGUUCGACCAAAUUUCCCUCGUCCAAGGACACAAUAAAAACAGGUGCUCCACCGUUUCCACGCCUCGAUUGCAUAAAGAGCAUGUGGGAUCA